ensembl:lncRNA
UCUCCAUGGCGUUUAACCAACCCCAGGAGAAGGACUAAAACUUUCCCUUAUUAAACCCGGAUGUGAUAUGGAUGAAAUCACGCCACUUCCACAAAGAGAAGCUGUUUUAUCCUAGAGGAUGCGGACUAUUUGAAACCGCUGCGGCUCAGCCAGAAUUCGUGAAAAAGAUCAUUCCCAAUUGAACCCACUACAAACCUUAACGGAGGAAGAAGAUGCAGUCCUGUACAUUGAUGAAUGGACAACACCAGCAGAUUAGACAAGCCUCUCAGCCCUCGCAAGCUGCUCCUUAUCAUGCCCAUGAUGGAACAAGAAAUCUGCAAUCUUGGACUCCAAAACAAAGCAUUCACUAUCAAGCAAGAAACCUAGGAGUGCAAAAUGCACACGCUGAACAUUUCCCUUUGCACAAUGGAGCUUAUUCUAACAGACAAAUGUCAAAUUUGCAGACUUCUGCAGGAACUUAUCAGGAGGUUUCUUCUCAGCAGAAUGGUGGAGGCAAUAAAAACAGUUAUUUUUCUGGUAUGUUAUUUAACUAUAUUCAAAAUGUAUCAGCUAAUAAGCAAAGUGGAAACCCAUCUUUGCCAGCAUCUGGAUUUCAGAUUCCCACUCUGCAAGACUGUGAUCAGAAUUCAUCAACUCAGAGUCCACCUAACCAGAUGAACUCAAACACUACAUAUCCCCAGCAAGGCAUGUCCACUCAUUGGAAAGAGCCACUGGUUGUUAAUGAGAGACAAAUGAUUGGAACACAGGAUAGAACUGUGACUAAUAUCCAGCAUGUCAGUGUUCAGCAGGGCAUGCAACAGAAUGUGAAUGGAGACUUGACAAAACCCAUUUCAGCGUACACUACACCAACUACCUCAUUUCCACCUGAACGUGGUUUAUGUACCAGCACUAUGAUGUCUGGCUCAGAACAGACUGUGUACCUUGUUUCGAACAAUCAGGUUCAAAGACAAAGCGGCACUCAGCAUGGAUUCUCUCCUGUCAACUCACAGAGUUACAAUAUGGGAACCUCUCAGACUUCAGGAAACAGUAACAUUGCAACAUAUCCACCAUCAAGUGCACAGAAUUCUUACUUUUCCAGCACCAGCCACAAAACUCAGCAACACUCGGCUCAGCACCAAUUAAGAAACAACAAUGGGAUCAAGACUGCCACCUACAGUAACUCAAAUUUUUAUAAAAAGUAUGAAAAUAUUAAUUACUCUGCAGAAAUGAGAGGGCGUCAGAUAAAAACUUAUAAACAACAGAAAGUGAUCAGGCACUCAUUAAGUGCAGAUGGUUUAAAUAAUUCAUGCACUCCUGGGUUUGAUGGUUGUCGUCCUCCUCCACCGUACAGCUAUGCAAAUCACAGACAGCAGCAGUAUGUCAGAACGACCACAAUGGUCUCGUCUAAUCAAUCUAAUAUUCAACCUGGGACUUCGGCUACCCGUAAAAAUUAUAGUAACUUGAAUUCCAUCAAGUUAUUACCCGGGCAUUCUGGACAGUCUUUACCUCAAAGCACUCAAAAUGUAAUGUCAAGAACACAGCACGCUGUAAGUACACCCCAUCAGCAAACCUGUGUACCUAACGGUUUCCACAAAUCUGCUGCAGGAAAUGAAAGAAGCCCAAGUAACGAAAUUCAUCCUAAAAAGAACUGUAGCUUAAUUGAAUUGUUGCUUUGUUCAUCCCUGCUGCCGGAAUCUGUUGACCGCAAGACACAAUCAUCAGUAGCAAGCAGUUUUGAGAUGCUGUCAUCAGUCCAGUUAAAUGACAGCUCCAUUCACUCAUCACCUGGAAAUGCCAGCACCAAAGCUAUUGCUGUUGUACAACCACUGCCAUCACUGGAAGGUCAGCUUCACAAUGACCAUGCUUCUUCUGAUUCCACAGCAGGAGACUCUUUAAACAACCCUAAGGAAACUUUUGUUUUAGAUACCACAGCAAUUAACAAAACGCUGCCAUCUUCAGAGUCAGGGACACAAAACACAGGAAAACAACCUGAACUGGAUGUUAAUGUUCAAAAUUCAAUUCCAUCCCAAGAAUCAGUAUGCCAAAAUUCUCCUGAAGACCAAAGUGGGAUCCAGACACUUUCAACAUCACCCGUUUCUGAUCUUUCCGCACUCCCAACAUCCCCAUGGACAUUAUUGGCACUAACGAAGUUGAUAAAAGAUGCAGAAAAGAAUCAGAAAGAGCUCAGCGAUUUGAAAGAAUUACACACUGCACAAAAAAUUAUAGACCUGUUUUGGGAGGGAAAACUUGAAACACUGCAAAUGUACUCAUGCAAGGUAGGCUUUCUCAAGGUUUUAGAAGUUAAAGAAUUCUGCCAAAAACAUUUAACAGCCAACUCUGUUGUACUGUUGCAGGUAGAUGGCAAUUUUGAGGAGCAAAUGGAAAGCUACCAUGUCCUCAAAGACAAUGAAGUAUUUUCAGAAUUGCCUUACAAAUCAUCAUGGUUAAAUCUAAAUGAGCAGUUGGAUGAAAUAGACAAAGAAUUUGGUUUCCCAUUGUCUCUGAAACAUCACACUUCAUUGCUUGAGAGUGAUGGCCAGAAAGAUCAGAUGCACAUCAACAACAGUGAUCCUGCAAUUAUGAGUAAAGUGCCAAGCAAGAUCUUGCCAUCAACACAUUUUGAACCCGUUGAUUCAAAUGAAGGAAAAGAAGCCACCACACUCAAACCCCCCUCCAUUCAAACUCCCUCCUCUAAUCAGACAGAUGAUGCCAGUGACCCAUGUUUGUCCCUGAAAAUCCAAGUUAUGCCUCCAGAAGAAGCCAAACGUUACCAUGAGCAAAGCGAAAAUGAGAUGCCACAAAGUAUGGAUGCAGAGAGGGUCGUAAGUAGUUCCACGGAGAGUGAGACACCUGAUAAUACAGAGUCCACAUCGUGGGAAUCAAAAUUGGAAACUGUGGAAAUUGGCAUAAGUCAGUCGCUUUGCUGUCUUACAAAGCUGUUGAAAAUGACUAUAGGAUCAAGUACAUCUUAUGAUUGUAAAUGCCACAGCCAGAAAGAACAAAAGUUUGGAAAAGGGUUAAAAAAUACCAGUGAUAGUGGCGAAACAGUUGUACUAAAGCACAAUAACCAGCUUGGGAAGGAUCCAGUAAAGGACAAGGAGAACACUGAUGAUCAAGUUGUGACAUUUAGUGGUUCUGAGCUUUGCAGCUUUCUUGGUCAAACCAUAGAUUUGACUGAAGUUGAUGACCAACCUCAAUUGCCUUCUGAACAAAAUUCUAAGAACCACUCCAAAAUAGCCAAUACCAGUCAUUCAGGUAUUAUAAUUAUAAGUGAUGAAGAUGAAGAUCUCUCCAGUGGUGAAAAUGAAAUUCUUAGCCAGAAGACAGAUCUUGCCAUAAAGAUGUCUGAACCUUACGAUAAGUGUGGACAAGAACAACCAACGUCUACAGCAUCGAGUCUGUCAGGUGCCUCAGUCAGUACUAACAAAGCUGAAACUGAAAAGUUCUGCAGCACUGAGACUGAGAUUGCCAUCCAGAUCCUGGAUCAUGACAGGAGUUGUGAAGAAGCUUUAGAUGUGCCAGUGUCACCUUUGGAAACCAAAGAGCAAUCUCAAAUCUGUGCUGAAGGUGACUUUAAAGUAUCUGUCAAGCAUAAAAAAAUCAAAAGAAAACACAAGAGACUCGAAUGGGAUGAUGAAUUUGGUCCACCCCAAAAGGAAUCAAAGAAAUGCAACUUGCCUGUUGAUCUUAAUUUAGAAAAUGCCCUUGAUGAUGUUUCAAAAUGUGAAAAGGAGCCUGCUGUUGAAGCUGAAGCUCUCAAUAUAGACUCAAAAAGAACUGCAGAACUGGUGCUGUUUGGCUCAGCUCAACAAGACAAGUGUGCUUUAACUGGCAGCAGAAAAGCCCAUUUCCGUUUUGUAAAGGGUGCAUCUAAGGCAGCACACCUGAGGCCUCCAGAAGUUCUUACUGUCAAUCUCAACCCUUUGAGUAGCAAGUCCAGUGACAUGGUGUACAAGAGGAAUUAUUCAGUAAAACAGCUAAUUCAUGACAAAUGGUGGAGAAGUUUUCAACAGACUAAAGCUAGUCACAAAAAAACCCGUAAACAUCGUUCUUACUCUGUUGCCGGGGGUAUCUUGAUGAAACGAGAUGGAAUUAAGGAAUCCCGGAGUCUGAAGACGCUUGGAGAGGAGAAGAAGGAUAUCACUGCUGAUAAUAAGAGGUGUUCCUCUAAAAGUGAAAGCCAAAAUGUCAAACCUUGCCAGGAGCACAUAGUCUUGAGGUUCAGUGUUCUACCCAGUAACUUUGACCUCAAAGAUGGAUCCAGUGGCAGGAAGCAAUCCACCAAUCCCAUUUCAGGUAAAUACCAUAGAUAGAGGGGGUACCGUUAUUCUAAUAUUGCCCACAAUAAAGUUGAUUUGAUGAUGAUGAUGAUGAUGAUGAUGAUGAUUAUUAUCUAUUGAAAAGAAUGGAUCACAGAAGGCAGAUUUUUGGUUUAUUUUGGUAAAAACUGUGAUCUCUCCAGAUGGUGCAGACCCAUUCUUUUUGGUAAAGAUCCAAAUUUAUGAAGCUAAAAGUAUUCUUUAAAAAUUUAAAAUUUCAAUGCUUUAUUGUAAUUCACGUAUAACGCCUCAGUUUUGUUUUGUUUUUGUUUUUUUUGUUGUUUUUUUUUUGUUUGUUUUUUAUUGCAUGUUAGAAGGGUGAUUGGCAAAUAUAUUGUUGGAGUGUCCACAUAAAGCAGGGACAUUCAACAUAAAUUGACCCAGAAAAGACUAAUGACAUCUCUGCUCCUCGAUGGGUCAUAGUUGGAGUGGGAUACUGGUGUCUUGCAGAUUAGAGUGGUGGUAAACAUGGGAACUGGAAAGUACUGUUUGUUUUUUCUUUUUCUUUGAGACGGACAACAAAAUUUAUUUUAAGGAAAUUUUGAAUCUGUCUUUCCAGAAGAGCCAGAGAAAGAGCAGAGCGCUGCUACAGCUGCUGCAAAACCGAAAGGUAAAUGGAGUUCGAGUCUGCAGAAGAAUCGACCUCGACCUAUUCCCAAGACCUUCAGUCUCUUCCACGAGUAUCAGAAGAAAUACAAGGAGCGCUCUCACUCAAAAGAUUAAUAAUGUGAAAGAUGUCUCUUCUCAGGGAAUACUUUUUUUUUUUUUUUUUUUUCCAUUUAAGACAUUUAGUACAAAGAUUCUGACUAAAAUUAUGCCUUUGUGUUUUUUUCUGCAGUGUAUAUACAAGCAAUACAUUAAGGCUGUGCAACCUUUUGUUGUUUACAUGCCUGUAAAAAGCAUUACAGUCAUGGAGCAGGUGUAGUUACUGACUUGUGGGAUGUGGGAACUUGGCAGCCUUUACAAAUUUGUUCAAGUGAUGACAUUCUGUUCGUCAUUGAUUAUUAUUGUGUCACUGCUCCUUGUCGGUUCACCACUGUACUCGCGACAGACAUGAAAGGAAUACAUGGUAUUUGCUGUCGGUGCAGUUCUGUUUAAUGAGCUGAGAAGCUCUGAAGAUGCAUGACACUGCAUAGUUUGUCUUGUGUCUGUGCAUCAGAGAGUGCAUGCAGACUUUAGAUGGUAAGUCCACAUGUUCAGAGCCAUGUUCAAAUUAACAAGUGAUAUCCAUGAAAGGGGGUGUAAGUCUAAAAUCUUUGUUGUUGUUUUUUUGACAAAAAACUUGACUUGUAACAUUUGCAUUGUGAGUUUUUUACUGUUUUUCUACACUUUCAGUAUUUGUACUCUAACCAUUUUUUAAAAUUUUUUUAUUAUUGUUUCUACGAUUAAAUUAUCCAUUUUUAAUGUGGUUUUGUCUUUGUCUAAACUAAUAGUAGGUAUUAUAAUUGAUUUAUAAGCUGCAAUAGUUGUUUAGCAUUAAAGGGAAAUGGCGUAGUUCCUGGAAAUAAUCUGAAACAAACCCAAAUUACAGGAAGGUGAAAUGCCCAUUAACGGUUUUAUUCUGCUCCUUGCAACGAUCCUCUUUGUUGAUCUUAUUGUAUUGUUUGAUAUCAAAUCAAAAAUGUUUAUGCAUGUUUUUACUUUAUAGCAGUUUUCUGGAAAUUACCCCAUAUGGAAAAGAAAUAGUAAAAACUUAUAUGAUUUACUCAUGAAAGUGGCCACUUUCUCAUUACUUUCAUAUGUUGUUUUAGUAAGUAUCCAAAACAUACAAGUUUCAUUUAUAUAAUUUUUCAAGGGAUC